AUUGGAAACGAUGACUAAUACCGCAUACGGUUCCUGGGAGGCAUCUUCUGGGAAAGAAAGGAUUUAUUCGGNGCAGGAUGGGCCCGCAUCUGAUUAGCUAGUUGGUGAGAUAACAGCCCACCAAGGCGAUGAUCAGUAGCCGACCUGAGAGGGUGACCGGCCACAUUGGGACUGAGACACGGCCCAAACUCCUACGGGAGGCAGCAGUGGGGAAUAUUGCACAAUGGGCGAAAGCCUGAUGCAGCAACGCCGCGUGAAGGAAGAAGGGUUUCGGCUCGUAAACUUCUAUCAACAGGGACGAAAGAAAUGACGGUACCUGAAUAAGAAGCCCCGGCUAACUACGUGCCAGCAGCCGCGGUAAUACGUAGGGGGCAAGCGUUAUCCGGAAUUACUGGGUGUAAAGGGUGAGUAGGCGGCAUGGUAAGCCAGAUGUGAAAGCCUUGGGCUUAACCCAAGGAUUGCAUUUGGAACUAUCAAGCUGGAGUACAGGAGAGGAAAGCGGAAUUCCUAGUGUAGCGGUGAAAUGCGUAGAUAUUAGGAAGAACACCAGUGGCGAAGGCGGCUUUUCUGGACUGAAACUGACGCUGAGGCACGAAAGCGUGGGGAGCGAACAGGAUUAGAUACCCUGGUAGU
rnacentral:rRNA from 1 species